rnacentral:lncRNA from 1 species
UGAAGGCCAGAUAGACUGAAGGAGUCAUGAAGAGAAACCGAGGCUCGGCAUCAUGAAUAAAUCCUAGGACAUUGGUAAAAGCACAGCCCAGUUGCAGUCAAAGAUCCCAGCAUUGUGGAGAUGCCAGUACCUUGGCAUGAUCACCAAGAGCAGCAGUGGCCAUAGAAUGGCGCCUACCCGAGCUUAGAGGACAAGCUGUGUGUGCUACAGAGGAGCUGGAGAAGUGGCCCAAGCCCCUUGUAGGAGGCCAGAAGAUGGUUAGUGAAUCCCAGGUGGCGCCACCUCUGUUUGUAAACUCCAAUCCAGAGCUGUAGUUGUUUCUCCUUUUGGCCCUACACUGUAGAACCAAAGCCGUGCCCAACAGAAGUAGCCUCACCCUGAGUGUCUGAAGCCAGUAUACACGUGAUGGAUCAUAUUUGAACAACAUAUCUCUGAAUAUUUAGGAUGAAUGAAGCCACCAUUCUCAUUUCUUGUGUCUACUCUGAAGCUAAUGGUGCUAGAAGAUCCCUUUUAUCUUGGUGUCACAACUCCAUCAACAGAAGGCCUGGGGCCUUGACUUCUCACAGGGGCAGACUGUGAACUGGACCUAUAAACCAAACAUUCUCUUCCUCCCUUGAACUGAGCUAGUCAAGGUCUUUGUUAUCACAGGAAGAACUGAAGAAACCAAUGCAUCUAAGGAAAGUUCUUAUUUCACAAUUGUAAGGACGCUUCGGAAAAAGUUCAUGGAACAUUCAGUUGACAACUGUCCUGGUAUUCAAAUCAAAAGUGUGGUGAUACGAUUUUAUGAAAACAUCUCUUACAUUGAAAGUGACUUUGGUUUUGAUUGAGUCUCACAACCGAGUUACUGAUACAAUUUAAGACCGCUUAAGACUCCGCCGGAGAAGCUACCGUGGAUUCAUCCUUUCUUUUUACAAGAACAAUGUAGUCCAAAAACUUGUCUUAGACUUCCUGUGUACUUAGCUUUCAUAAGCUAAGCUAAUGCAUAGCUAUAACUUUAAAUUAUAUAUUGUGUCAUGCCCCUCGCCAUGAGAGCAAUA